UACGUAGGGUGCAGGCGUUAAUCGGAAUUACUGGGCGUAAAGCGUGCGCAGGCGGCUCCUUAAGUCAGAUGUGAAAGCCCCGGGCUUAACCUGGGAACUGCGUUUGAAACUGGGGGGCUAGAGUGUGGAAGAGGGGGGUGGAAUUCCAGGUGUAGCGGUGAAAUGCGUAGAUAUCGAGAGGAACACCAGAGGUGAAGACGGGUUGCUGGGCUGACACUGACGCUGAGGCGCGAAAGCCAGGGGAGCAAACGGG
rnacentral:rRNA from 1 species